CGGUUUAAGCGUGUAGGUGUGUGUUCCAGGUAAAUCCGGUUCACUUUAACACUGAGGCGUGACGACGAGGCACUACGGUGCUGAAGCAACAAAUGCCCUGCUUCCAGGAAAAGCCUCUAAGCCUCAGGUAACAUCAAAUCGUACCCCAAACCGACACAGGUGGUCAGGUAGAGAAUACCAAGGCGCUUGAGAGAACUCGGGUGAAGGAACUAGGCAAAAUGGUGCCGUAACUUCGGGAGAAGGCACGCUGACACGUAGGUGAAGUGGUUUACCCAUGGAGCUGAAGUCAGUCGAAGAUACCAGCUGGCUGCAACUGUUUAUUAAAAACACAGCACUGUGCAAACACGAAAGUGGACGUAUACGGUGUGACGCCUGCCCGGUGCCGGAAGGUUAAUUGAUGGGGUCAGCGCAAGCGAAGCUCCUGAUCGAAGCCCCGGUAAACGGCGGCCGUAACUAUAACGGUCCUAAGGUAGCGAAAUUCCUUGUCGGGUAAGUUCCGACCUGCACGAAUGGCGUAAUGAUGGCCAGGCUGUCUCCACCCGGGACUCAGUGAAAUUGAACUCGCUGUGAAGAUGCAGUGUACCCGCGGCAAGACGGAAAGACCCCGUGAACCUUUACUAUAGCUUGACACUGAACACUGGUCCUUGAUGUGCAGGAUAGGUGGGAGGCUUUGAAGUGUGGACGCCAGUCUGCAUGGAGCCAUCCUUGAAAUACCACCCUUUAAUGGCUGGUGUUCUAACGUGGGCCCGUGAACCGGGUUGCGGACAGUGUCUGGUGGGUAGUUUGACUGGGGCGGUCUCCUCCUAAAGAGUAACGGAGGAGCACGAAGGUUGGCUAAUCCUGGUCGGACAUCAGGAGGUUAGUGCAAUGGCAUAAGCCAGCUUGACUGCGAGCGUGACGGCGCGAGCAGGUGCGAAAGCAGGUCAUAGUGAUCCGGUGGUUCUGAAUGGAAGGGCCAUCGCUCAACGGAUAAAAGGUACUCCGGGGAUAACAGGCUGAUACCGCCCAAGAGUUCAUAUCGACGGCGGUGUUUGGCACCUCGAUGUCGGCUCAUCACAUCCUGGGGCUGAAGUAGGUCCCAAGGGUAUGGCUGUUCGCCAUUUAAAGUGGUACGCGAGCUGGGUUUAGAACGUCGUGAGACAGUUCGGUCCCUAUCUGCCGUGGGCGCUGGAAGAUUGAGGGGGGCUGCUCCUAGUACGAGAGGACCGGAGUGGACGCAUCACUGGUGUUCGGGUUGUCAUGCCAAUGGCACUGCCCGGUAGCUACAUGCGGAAGAGAUAAGUGCUGAAAGCAUCUAAGCACGAAACUUGCCCCGAGAUGAAUCUUCCCUGAGCCUUUAAGGCUCCUGAAGGAACGUUGAAGACGACGACGUUGAUAGGCCGGGUGUGUAAGCGCAGCGAUGCGUUGAGCUAACCGGUACUAAUGAACCGUGAGGCUUAACCUUACAACGCCGAAG
rnacentral:rRNA from 1 species